rnacentral:tRNA from 1 species
UGCCCGGUAGCUCAGUUGGAAGAGCAGCCGGCUGUUAACCGGCGGGUCGUAGGUUCGAGUCCUACCCGGGCAGCCA